GGUUGAUCCUGCCAGUAUUAUAUGCUGAUGUUAAAGAUUAAGCCAUGCAUGUGUAAGUAUAAAGACCAAGUAGGAUGAAACUGCGGACGGCUCAUUAUAACAGUAAUAGUUUCUUUGGUUAGUAAAGUACAAGGAUAGCUUUGUGAAUGAUAAAGAUAAUACUUGAGACGAUCCGGUUUGUAUUAGUACAAGUCGGCCACUCUCUUCACGGGGAGUGCGAAUGCCAUUCUGAAUUGAAUAAGGAUGGUAUGACAAUUGUAGAGCACACAGUGUUUAACAAGUAACCAAUGAGA
rnacentral:rRNA from 1 species